rnacentral:rRNA from 1 species
UACGGGGGGAGCAAGCGUUGUUCGGAUUUACUGGGCGUAAAGGGCGCGUAGGCGGCCACCGCAAGUCGAUUGUGAAAUCUCCGGGCUUAACCCGGAAAGGUCAACCGAUACUGCGGGGCUAGAGUGCAGAAGGGGCAACUGGAAUUCUCGGUGUAGCGGUGAAAUGCGUAGAUAUCAGGAGGAACACCGAUGGCGAAGGCAGGUCUCUGGGCAUUAACUGACGCUGAGGAGCGAAAGCAUGGGGAGCGAACAGG